GGCUGAGUGUGCUACACCAAGAAGGGGAGAAGACAGAAUAUUCUAACAGGCUGUGGGCCCCCGCCGCCAUCUGGAUCUCGGUUUCCUCACCUCUGAGGGGUCUUUUCCAGUUCCAAUAUGCAAAUGGUUCAUCACUCGCUGUAGAAUAGAAUCAGAGCUGUGAUAUGCUGUCCACGUGGCCCACAGACUCAGGGAGGGUCUGAAACUCUGCCAGGGCCUACUGUGCUCCUUUCAGAGGAGCACCACCCCACCCAAGGCACCCCAGGGUGUCUCAGGAGGGCGGCCCAGGACCACUCCGAAUGCACUGAAAGCUGACUGUGUUCAGUAGGGGAGAGGGGCCCCUUCUCUAAAUAUUUUCUCUCCAGGUUUGGCUGGAGACAGUCACAGCCGGUCAGGGGGCUCAAAGAGGCGCCAGGCCUGCCAAGAACCACCUGAGGAUGGCGUUUGUGAGGAAAACCCAGGGAGCAGGGCUGGCCCACUCCCAGGCAGCAAAAGUACGGGGCCACCCUCCCCUUCCUGGGUUGGAGCCAGGGCACCCACUGUGGCUGGAAGGGAGAAAGGGAGUUGUGGGCCCAGGCAGCCCCCAGAAAACAGCCCGCAGCCCUCCAGUCAGCUGCCGCGUGUUUGUUUUCACAGCUGCUCCUCCAGCUCGGCUGUUCCAGUGAGCAAAGGAAUCUGUUUGUCUGAGAAAAAGAAUGUGGCAGAGAGGCGGGAGGCAGCCCCAGGCAGCCCCGGCAGCCUCCUCAGCUUCGGAGCUCACCAAAACCAGCCAGCCACCUCGGGGAGUCACCCAAGAGCCUAGAUGGCUACAGACGGGUUGGUUACUGGUUCUGCUCUAAGGACUGGCCUGCUGGACUCGCUGCGCUUCUCUGCCAGCUGUUCCCUCUUCCGCCUUCUGUUUGCUUUGAUCUGAGGUUGACAGACCACCUGGCCUGCUAAACUGGGAAGGUAGUGAUGCAUUUUAGGCAAUGUCUUCUGCUUAUGCUCAGCAAUGCAUGAGUCUCAGAGCGGUGGCCAGAGAAAUGGCGAAUCGUCGUAUAUUGAGCGAGUGAUAAUGGAAUCCAGGAGGUGGAAAUUACAAGUUGAAAAGUAAAAUCAAUGCCCUGACUGUGAAAUGACUGAAUGCCUGGUGAGGAACUGUGUCGAGGUGCACCCCCACUCCCCUUACUCCACACCGACCUUUAAGACGCUCACCAGUUCAGAAGUUCCUUGAGGGCAGGAAGCAUAUUUUAAUCACGGGUAAUCAUAGCAUAUCAGGGCAGAAAUGGGCCUUAGAGAGCUUCCAGCCCUGGAGUGGCAAAUCGGUUUCAUUUUGGUGCCAGCUACAAUCAUUUAGUGGUGGCUGCCUGAAGCGCUGGGCCGAGAAGUGUUCUGCGGGUCUCUGGGCUCCUUGAGGAGUCGGCCAUGAUCAAUUAGCGAUGUUUACCAUGGCCAGGGGAGUGGCAAGGAGGCAGCACUUUGCUCAGAUUACCCAACCCCUAUCUAGUCCAACCUGUCCCGCUGACAGAUGAGGAAAGAACUGCUAAGCAGCUCUGUGUCCCCACCCACACCCCAGCACAUUCUUGUCCCCUAGCAGCCAUCCACUUCCAGGGGUCUGUGCAUAGUAUUCAAGGGUCUAUGAACUUGAGUGGGAGAGACAUUUACAUCUUUGUUUCACUAAACUCUGAGAUCAAGCACUUCCUUCCAUGAUGAAUGUAGGCAACAAACUGUGGUAGCAACAGCAGCACCUGUGACUGUCACCAAUAGAAACCACAGCUAUCUUCCUAGCACAUCAGAGCUGCUGCUGCUGUCUCUAAAGAUCACUUACACCCCUCGCUAGUCACUGUGGUCUUUGUAUGAAAGGAUCGUAGUUAUUAGACCCAACACUAAAUCUUGUUACUUAAUGCAUUAAUAAAGAAACACACAUAUUACUGAUCCCGAAGUUGCUUCUUAAUAUUUGCAUAACUGCAUUUCAAUAGAGAAUUGGUUUCCUCUGUCAUACUAUUUUAUGCAAUUAAAUUCAUCAUCCUGAGAAG
rnacentral:lncRNA from 1 species